GGGCCAGGGCUACACACGUGCUACAAUGGUCGGUACAAAGGGGUUGCCAAGCCGCGAGGUGGAGCUAAUCCCAUAAAACCGAUCGUAGUCCGGAUCGCAGUCUGCAACUCGACUGCGUGAAGUCGGAAUCGCUAGUAAUCGUGAAUCAGAAUGUCACGGUGAAUACGUUCCCGGGCCUU
rnacentral:rRNA from 1 species